AGUAUGAAAAUCAAAUAAAGUUGUUCUUAUUAAUAUAUCUAUAUUUACAGGGCAUUUAUGAGGAAGAAGGGGUGCAAUGUCUCACGUUGGACAUGUGACACAGUCAAGCAUCCAAAACAACAGGAUAGCUCAUCAUGUGGUGUAUUUUCACUGAAGUUUGCAGAAAAAAUCCUGUCAAAAGAGGUUGUGGAUUUUCCUGUUUCCAGAGAGGCGGUCCACAGCAUGAGGUUGGAAAUUGCUGUGAGACUAAUCCUUAACAGUGAGGACCUAAAAGACUUGUGUCACUUCUGUGGAGAGAUGGAAAGUGACACGGAUGUGAACUGGGUAGGAAAGUUUUUAGAAUUAUUCAAAGACUUAGUGUUAGUAAACUAAAUGAAGAGGACAAGUUUUAUCUAAUCUUAUCUUGCGUAAACAAGCUAUGAUAUGAUCCUCCAACAGUUGGAAUAUAAAGGAAUCUAAAAUGAUUGAUUAUAUAUUGUAAUUGUAAAGACAUAUUUUUCUAAAAAAAACCUGAUAUUUUUGGUUUCUUUCCUAGAUCCAGUGUGACGUGUGUCUGAGGUGGUUCCAUCAUGCAUGUGUGGGAAGCCCACCAACUGAAAAAACAUCACUGCUUUGCGUGUUUGCCUUAGUUGCCUUUGUUCCUGAGAUUGCUGUGGUGUGCUUGUUUAUGUAUGUUGUUUAAAGGUUAAUAAAUUACAUUUUGAAAACUGUUUGAUAUUUAUACUUACAAGACUUUGAUAUAAGGCAGCUAUGGAAAAAAGUUUAAAUCCCAAGGCCCCUCAUAACUUUGUCAAAUAAAGAGCAAAUGUUACCAA